CAAUAUGAUUUUACGAACGUCAACUAGGAAGUUCCCUCAGCGUGCACGUCUCAGCGCACCUACGCAAAAUUCCAAUAAAAACGAGCACCUUGGCGGAAAUAAGUGCACCGGUGUCAUAAUUACAUCGACACCGUUCCAUCCAAAACAAGAUGUCAAGCAUAUGUUCUUAUAAUUGAGCUACCAUGUAUUCUUGUGUUCCUUAAUUAAAAACCAGUUUAAAUUUCUCGACCAUUUUCCCCCCUUUCUUCAGGUGUCCCAAAGUGAAGUGACAGACCAACCUUAGUUCAACAGGAUGAAGACCAAUGAACAGCCAGGUUACAGACGCCUGGAACAGAGCAACAUGGGCGAUGAGCUGAAAGAUUCCAACAAGGAGGAGGAUAUUCGAGCGAAACUUUGCAAAAGGAGUUUCUCAUCUACGAUCUCCAACGUCGUCAUCAACAUCAUCCUCGCUCUCAUGUUUGCGGCUCUGAUCUUGUCUUUUUUACCAAUGGUGUUGUGAGAUGGGAAUAAAUAUUUGGGGGUGACAAACAGUGCUACAGGGACUGAAUAAAUUAUGAGGGCAAAAAUA